rnacentral:rRNA from 1 species
UAAAUUGCUAAGGGCGCAUGUGUGGAUGCCUUGGCACUAGAAGCUGAUGAAGGACGUGACGAACAACGAUAUGCUUCGGGGAGCUGUAUGUACGCUUUGAUCCGGAGAUUUCCGAAUGGGUGAACCUAGCUAGAGUAAUGUCUAGUUACUGCAUACUGAAUACAUAGGUAUGUAGGAGCAACCCGGUGAACUGAAACAUCUUAGUAGCCGGUGGAAAAGAAAGAAAAAUCGAUUUCCUUAGUAGUGGCGAGCGAAACGGAAAGAGCCUAAACCAGUCUUUGGACUGGGGUUGUAGGACUUCUCAUAUGAAGUUACAAAAUUAUUUGAUAGUCGAAUUGCUUGGAAAGGCAAAUCAUAGAAGGUGAAAAUCCUGUAGACGAAAUCUUAUAAUCUUCGAGAAGUAUCCUGAGUACGGCGAGACACGUGUAAUCUUGUCGGAAUCCGCGGGGCCCAUCCCGCAAGGCUAAAUACUCUCUAGUGACCGAUAGUGAACAAGUACCGUGAGGGAAAGGUGAAAAGAACCCCGGGAGGGGAGUGAAAUAGAAUACUGAAACCAUGUGCUUACAAAGAGUCAGAGCCCGUUAACGGGUGAUGGCGUGCCUUUUGCAGAAUGAACCGGCGAGUUAUUGUAUUAUGCAAGGUUAAGUUGAAGAGACGGAGCCGUAGGGAAACCGAGUCUGAAUAGGGCGAUUUAGUAUGAUGCAAUAGACCCGAAACCGAGUGAUCUAUCCUUGAGCAGGCUGAAGUUUGGGUAAGACCAAAUGGAGGGCCGAACCGACUUAUGUUGAAAAAUGAGCGGAUGACUUGAGGAUAGCGGUGAAAUUCCAAACGAACUCGGAUAUAGCUGGUUCUCCCCGAAAUAGGUUUAGGCCUAGCGUUGAGAAGUAAUUAUUGGAGGUAGAGCACUGAAUAUAUGAUGGCGGCACCUAGCUGUACUGAGUGUAAUCAAACUCCGAAUGCCAAUAAUGUUAUCUCAGCAGUCAGUGUAUGGGUGAUAACGUCCGUACGCGAAAGGAAAAGAAUCCAGAUCGCCAGCUAAGGUCCCCAAAUAUAUGCUAAGUGGGAAAGGAUGUGGCACUGUCAAAACAGCUAGGAGGUUGGCUCAGAAGCAGCCAUCCUUUAAAGAGUGCGUAAUAGCUCACUAGUCUAGUGGCGCCGCGCCGAAAAUGUACCGGGGCUAAGCAUAUUACCGAAGCUGCGAAUUUUAUCUUUGAUAAAGUGGUAGGGGAGCGUUCCAACAGGGUUGAAGGUCGAUCGUGAGGACGGCUGGACUGGUUGGAAGUGAGAAUGCCGGUAUGAGUAGCGCAAGACGGGUGAGAAUCCCGUCCACCGUUUGCCCAAGGUUUCCUGGGGAAGGUUCGUCCUCCCAGGGUAAGUCAGGACCUAAGGCGAGGCCGAGAGGCGUAGUCGAUGGACAACAUGUUUAUAUUCAUGUACCACCUUUAUAACUAAUGGAGUGACGGAGAAAGCUAGGAGGAGCUCAUUAUUGGAUUUGAGUUUAAGCGCUUAGGUUAGUAUGCUGGAAAAUCCGUAAUACUGCGUAACUGAAACGUGAUGACGUCGAAGACUUCGGUCUUUUAAGUCCUCUGACGCUAUGCUUCCAAGAAAAGCUUCUAGGGUUAAUUAUAUUGGUGCCUGUACCGAGAACCGACACAGGUGGGCAAGGAGAGUAUCCUAAGGUGAGCGAGUGAACUAUGGUUAAGGAAUUCGGCAAAAUGACUCCGUAACUUCGGGAUAAGGAGUGAUCAACUUGUUGAUCCGCAGUGAAAUGGCCCAAGCGACUGUUUAUCAAAAACAUAGGUUUCUGCUAAUUCGUAAGAAGAUGUAUAGGAGCUGACACCUGCCCAGUGCUGGAAGGUUAAGAGGAGUACUUAGCUUGACGCAAGUCGAUUUGCGAAGGUACGAAUUGAAGCCCCAGUGAACGGCGGCCGUAACUAUAACGGUCCUAAGGUAGCGAAAUUCCUUGUCGGGUAAGUUCCGACCCGCACGAAAGGUGUAACGAUUUGGGCACUGUCUCGACCAUAGGCUCGGUGAAGUUCUAAUACCUGUGAAAAUGCAGGUUACCCGCGACUAGACGGUAAGACCCCGUGGAGCUUUACUACAACUUGAUAUUGAAAUUUGAUUCAUUUUGUAGAGGAUAGGUGGGAGACGUUGAGACUAGGACGCUAGUUCUAGAGGAGUCAACCUUGGAAUACCACCCUUAAUGUUUUGAAUUUCUAACCUGGUACCGUGAAUCCGGUAUGGGAACAGUGUCUGGUGGGUAGUUUGACUGGGGCGGUCGCCUCCUAAAAAGUAACGGAGGCGCUCAAAGGUUCCCUCAAAUUGGUUGGAAAUCAAUUGUAGAGUGUAAAGGUAUAAGGGAGCUUAACUGCGAGACCUACAAGUCAAGCAGAUGCGAAAGCAGGACUUAGUGAUCAGGCGAUUCAGUAUGGAAUGGUCGUCGCUUAACGGAUAAAAGUUACCCCGGGGAUAACAGGCUGAUAGCGCCCAAUAGUUCACAUAGACGGCGCUGAUUGGCACCUCGAUGUCGGCUCGUCACAUCCUGGAGGUGGAUUCGCUUCCAAGGGUUGGGCUGUUCGCCCAUUAAAGUGGCACGCGAGCUGGGUUCAGAACGUCGUGAGACAGUUCGGUCCCUAUCUGUCGUGGGCGUAGGAAAAUUGAGGAGAGCUGUUCCUAGUACGAGAGGAUCGGAAUGGACAUACCUCUGGUGUAUCUGUUGUCACGCCAGUGGCACUGCAGAGUAGCUAUGUAUGGAAUGGAUAACCGCUGAAAGCAUCUAAGCGGGAAGCCAACUUCAAGAUGAGUUUUCCCAUAUGUAUAUAGUAAGAUUCCAGAAAGACUAUCUGGUUGAUAGGCUGGAGGUGGAAGCAUGGCAACAUGUUGAGCUGACCAGUACUAAUAGAUCGAGGAUUU